rnacentral:rRNA from 1 species
CAGCGCCACGAGUGGCAUCCACGUUUAUUGGGCCUAAAGCGUCCGUAGCCGGUUUAGUAAGUCUUUUGUGAAAUUGUGCGGCUCAACCGUACAACGUGCAAGAGAUACUGCUAGGCUUGAGACCGGGAGGAGUCAGAAGUAUUCCAGAGGGAGCGGUAAAAUGUUAUAAUCUCUGGAGGACUACCUGUGGCGAAGGCGUCUGACCAGAACGGAUCUGACGGUGAGGGACGAAAGCCAGGGGAGCGAACCGGAUUAGAUACCCGAGUAGUCC